rfam:Enterococcus avium ATCC 14025 genomic scaffold acpMO-supercont1.3, whole genome shotgun sequence.
AAGAAAAUUGCGGGAGAGUGCAGCUAAUCUGCCACCGAAGGUAUAAGCUGUGAAACAAGCUGAAUUCACAGUGAACAUCUCAGGUAAACGGACCGUAAUUGGAUA